UACGAAGGUGGCAAGCGUUGCUCGGAAUUACUGGGCGUAAAGGGCGCGUAGGCGGAAUGGCAAGUCGGUCGUGAAAUCCCUCGGCUCAACUGAGGGGCGUCGAUCGAUACUGCUGUUCUUGAGGGUUGCAGAGGAGACUGGAAUUCCCGGUGUAGCGGUGAAAUGUGUAGAGAUCGGGAGGAACACCGGUGGCGAAGGCGGGUCUCUGGGCAACUCCUGACGCUGAGGCGCGAAAGCGUGGGGAGCAAAC
rnacentral:rRNA from 1 species